AGAGUUUGAUCAUGGCUCAGGAUGAACGCUGGCGGCGUGCCUAACACAUGCAAGUCGAGCGAUUCUCUUCGGAGAAGAGCGGCGGACGGGUGAGUAACGCGUGGGUAACCUGCCUCAUACACACGGAUAACAUACCGAAAGGUAUGCUAAUACAAGAUGAUAUAAGAGAUUCGCAUGGAUUUCUUAUCAAAGCUCCGGCGGUAUGAGAUGGACCCGCGUCUGAUUAGCUAGUUGGUAAGGUAACGGCUUACCAAGGCAACGAUCAGUAGCCGACCUGAGAGGGUGAUCGGCCACAUUGGAACUGAGACACGGUCCAAACUCCUACGGGAGGCAGCAGUGGGGAAUAUUGCACAAUGGGCGAAAGCCUGAUGCAGCAACGCCGCGUGAGCGAUGAAGGCCUUCGGGUCGUAAAGCUCUGUCCUCAAGGAAGAUAAUGACGGUACUUGAGGAGGAAGCCCCGGCUAACUACGUGCCAGCAGCCGCGGUAAUACGUAGGGGGCUAGCGUUAUCCGGAUUUACUGGGCGUAAAGGGUGCGUAGGUGGUUUCUUAAGUCAGGAGUGAAAGGCUACGGCUUAACCGUAGUAAGCUCUUGAAACUGGGAAACUUGAGUGCAGGAGAGGAAAGUGGAAUUCCUAGUGUAGCGGUGAAAUGCGUAGAUAUUAGGAGGAACACCAGUAGCGAAGGCGGCUUUCUGGACUGUAACUGACACUGAGGCACGAAAGCGUGGGGAGCAAACAGGAUUAGAUACCCUGGUAGUCCACGCCGUAAACGAUGAGUACUAGGUGUCGGGGGUUACCCCCCUCGGUGCCGCAGCUAACGCAUUAAGUACUCCGCCUGGGGAGUACGCUCGCAAGAGUGAAACUCAAAGGAAUUGACGG
rnacentral:rRNA from 1 species